UUAGAAAUUAAACAAACAGUUAACUUGGUCCCAACUAGGAAAUAGCAUGGUAGUGACAGUUGAUGAUCAGUGUAAUGUUGAUCUUUGACCCUUGAGCCCCAUAAAAUUUCAUCCUCUUGUCUCUCAGCUGCCUUAUAAUUACAGUGAAUGUUUCCAGUUUUCACAGCUCUUGCUUGGUAACUAACUGUGUGUCUAGGCCUGAUUUAUUUUAAUUCCCAUGUCAGUUGCUCAGUUGCAGUUCAUUCCAAAGGGGACUUAAAUCACCAUUUUUUUUGUUGUUGUUGGUUUUUUUUUCUUUUGUUAGCUACAAGCAAGAAGAUCCUGGAUCAUGCCAGAGGUUUAAAAGAAGAAGUGAAGUUCAACAAGUUCAUGUCAUAUUUUAACAUGUUCCAGAAUUUCUCACAGGUCUACCAAACUCAAAUGCAACAUUUCCAAAUCACCGUUAAUGGUCUUCGCCUCAAAUCUGUGAAUGGUAUCCUAUGAAGUUGUGCAAUAUGAUAUCUUCAGAUCCCCCAUCUCUGAAUGUUCCCACCUGUGUGUGCAGCAAAGAGCCAAAGUUUAAUCUUUGACAUUUUCUUUCUUUCUCCCACAUUCCAUUAGUUAUUGUUCUGUCCCUGUAUCGUAUGUUUUCGUUGCCCUCUAUACCUACCUUACAUAAAACUUAAUAGAGCAUAUAACUAAUUAUGUAUUUUCUUGAUGAUCUAAUCAACAAUAAACUUUCUCAGUAGUCUAAAUUCUUCAUGAAAUCAUAGACUAUAUUUUACUCACUAUUAUAGCCCUAGUAUAUAGCAAUAUUGUUAUAUGUGAGGUGCUUAAUAUAUAAUUUUCC
rnacentral:lncRNA from 1 species